UACGUAGGGUGCAAGCGUUAAUCGGAAUUACUGGGCGUAAAGCGUGCGCAGGCGGUUAUGUAAGUCAGGUGUGAAAUCCCCGGGCUUAACCUGGGAACUGCAUUUGUGACUGCAUAGCUAGAGUACGGCAGAGGGGGAUGGAAUUCCGCGUGUAGCAGUGAAAUGCGUAGAUAUGCGGAGGAACACCGAUGGCGAAGGCAAUCCCCUGGGCCUGUACUGACGCUCAUGCACGAAAGCGUGGGGAGCAAACAGG
rnacentral:rRNA from 1 species